ensembl:lncRNA
GCCUCCCCCAUCAUCAGGUCAUGAUUUAUGACAUGGUUCACCAAAGACUCUCUGCCUCCCCCAUCAUCAGGUCAUGAUUUAUGACAUGGUUCACCAAAGACUCUCUGCCUCCCCCAUCAUCAGGUCAUGAUUUAUGACAUGGUUCACCAAAUACUCUCUGCCUCCCCCAUCUUCAGGUCAUGAUUUAUGACAUGGUUCACCAAAGACUCUCUGCCUCCCCCAUCUUCAGGUCAUGAUUUAUGACAUGGUUCACCAAAGACUCUCUGCCUCCCCCAUCUUCAGGUCAUGAUUUAUGACAUAGUUCACCAAAGACUCUCUGCCUCCCCCAUCAUCAGGUCAUUAUUUAUGACAUGGUUCACCAAAUACUCUCUGCCU